GCGGGCGUAGCUCAAUGGCUAGAGCGCCGUCCUUCCAAGUCGGAUAUGCGGUUUCGAUUACCGUCGCCCGCU
rnacentral:tRNA from 1 species